GCUCUCCUGCAGGAGGAUGAUGUAAAAAAUGUAAAGGCUGCCUUUUUGGCAAAGUUGGCUACUCUGAAGACCAUCCCCUCUGAAGAUGAAGCAGCAUUUUUGAGCGAUCUUUGGAACAAAGUCAAGGAACUUGUGGGGUGAGAACCGACCAGAAUGGGGAUGCCGAGGAUCCAUCUCAGUCUCCAUAUCAAAUCAGCUAUCACCUCUGACAUCAUCACUAACAUUAACUCAAUGAAUCAUUCCAACAUCCAUCCAUCAAUCAUUGACUAACAUAAAAACAAAACAGUAAUAUAGUUCUUGGGACUUUGGUACAGAGAAGAACUCAUCAACAUUCUGAAGAAUAUAUGUUUUAUCCAAAAACAUGAACUUUAAGUCCUGAUACAUGAUAGUGGAUAAAUAAUGAUGAUCAGAAUUUCUGAUGGCAAUGUUGUAUGGUUGGUGUCAUAUUGUGAUCCUCCAAUAAACUAUCAAGCA